AGCGAACGCUGGCGGCAGGCCUAACACAUGCCAGUCGAACGGAUCCUUCGGGAUUAGUGGCGGACGGGUGAGUAACACGUGGGAACGUGCCCUUUGGUUCGGAACAACUCAGGGAAACUUGAGCUAAUACCGGAUGUGCCCUUCGGGGGAAAGAUUUAUCGCCAUUGGAGCGGCCCGCGUCUGAUUAGCUAGUUGGUGAGGUAACGGCCCACCAAGGCGACGAUCAGUAGCUGGUCUGAGAGGAUGAUCAGCCACACUGGGACUGAGACCCGGCCCAGACUCCUACGGGAGGCAGCAGUGGGGAAUCUUGCGCAAUGGGCGAAAGCCUGACGCAGCCAUGCCGCGUGAAUGAUGAAGGUCUUAGGAUUGUAAAAUUCCUUCAGCGGGGACGAUAAUGACGGUACCCGCAGAAGAAGCUCCGGCUAACUUCGUG
rnacentral:rRNA from 1 species